rnacentral:rRNA from 1 species
CCUACGGGAGGCAGCAGUGAGGAAUAUUGGUCAAUGGGCGCAAGCCUGAACCAGCCAAGUCGCGUGAGGGAUGACGGUCCUAUGGAUUGUAAACCUCUUUUGUCGGGGAGCAAGGCCCGCCACGUGUGGCGGGAAGGAGAGUACCCGAAGAAAAAGCAUCGGCUAACUCCGUGCCAGCAGCCGCGGGAAUACGGAGGAUGCGAGCGUUAUCCGGAUUUAUUGGGGUAAAAGGGUGCGUAGGCGGAAGGUUAAGUCAGCGGUAAAAUGUCGGUGCUCAACACCGGCCUGCCGUUGAAACUGGUCUUCUUGAGUGAGCGAGAGGUAUGCGGAAUGCGUGGUGUAGCGGUGAAAUGCAUAGAUAUCACGCAGAACUCCGAUUGCGAAGGCAGCAUACCGGCGCUCAACUGACGCUGAGGCACGAAAGCGUGGGGAUCGAACAGGAUUAGAUACCCGGGUAGUC